UACGUAGGGUGCGAGCGUUAAUCGGAAUUACUGGGCGUAAAGCGUGCGCAGGCGGUGCUGUAAGACCGAUGUGAAAUCCCCGGGCUUAACCUGGGAACUGCAUUUGUGACUGCAUGGCUGGAGUGCGGCAGAGGGGGAUGGAAUUCCGCGUGUAGCAGUGAAAUGCGUAGAUAUGCGGAGGAACACCGAUGGCGAAGGCAAUCCCCUGGGCCUGCACUGACGCUCAUGCACGAAAGCGUGGGGAGCAAACAGG
rnacentral:rRNA from 1 species